AACGAACGCUGGCGGCAUGCCUAACACAUGCAAGUCGAACGAGACCUUCGGGUCUAGUGGCGCACGGGUGCGUAACGCGUGGGAACCUGCCCUUAGGUUCGGAAUAACUCCCCGAAAGGGGUGCUAAUACCGGAUAAUGUCUUCGGACCAAAGAUUUAUCGCCUUUGGAUGGGCCCGCGUUGGAUUAGCUAGUUGGUAGGGUAAAAGCCUACCAAGGCGACGAUCCAUAGCUGGUCUGAGAGGAUGAUCAGCCACACUGGGACUGAGACACGGCCCAGACUCCUACGGGAGGCAGCAGUGGGGAAUAUUGGACAAUGGGCGAAAGCCUGAUCCAGCAAUGCCGCGUGAGUGACGAGGGCCUUAGGGUUGUAAAGCUCUUUUACCCGGGAUGAUAAUGACAGUACCGGGAGAAUAAGCUCCGGCUAACUCCGUG
rnacentral:rRNA from 1 species